AUUGAACGCUGGCGGCAUGCCUUACACAUGCAAGUCGAACGGUAACAGGUCUUCGGACGCUGACGAGUGGCGAACGGGUGAGUAAUACAUCGGAACGUGCCUAGUAGUGGGGGAUAACUACUCGAAAGAGUGGCUAAUACCGCAUGAGAUCUACGGAUGAAAGCAGGGGAUCGCAAGACCUUGUGCUACUAGAGCGGCCGAUGGCAGAUUAGGUAGUUGGUGGGAUAAAAGCGUACCAAGCCGACGAUCUGUAGCUGGUCUGAGAGGACGAUCAGCCACGCUGGGACUGAGACACUGCCCAGACUCCUACGGGAGGCAGCAGUGGGGAAUUUUGUACAAUGGGCGCAAGCCUGAUCCAGCAAUGCCGCGUGCAGGAUGAAGGCCUUCGGGUUGUAAACUGCUUUUGUACGGAACGAAAAGCCCCGGGUUAAUACCCUGGGGUCAUGACGGUACCGUAAGAAUAAGCACCGGCUAACUACGUGCCAGCAGCCGCGGUAA
rnacentral:rRNA from 1 species